CAUUCUUGUUUUUGGCAUUUUAUGCAAUGUGAUGAUAGUUGCUCAGGCUUCUUUCACCUCUAUUUUUAGGAGUAAAAUCUUUACCACAUUAGAACAUCUAGUUUAAAGCCACAAAUAAGGAUAGGAAAGAGGCCUGCUGGGAUCCAUAUAGGUGGGAGCGGUUUCAAUUUCAAUACAAAGUUAACAACUUCUCACUUGUUUACAGGGUCUUACAAUAUAAAGGUG